rnacentral:tRNA from 1 species
AGCUCUAUAGGGUAGUGGUUUGCAUGUCUGCUUUACAAGCAGAAGGUCCUGGGUUUCUGCCCCAGGUGGAGCCA